GUGCUCGCUUCAGCAGCACAUAUACUAAAAAUUAGAAUGAUACAGAGAUUAGCAUGGCCCCUGCACAAGGAUGACACGAAAAUUUGUGAAAAAAAAAGAUU
rnacentral:snRNA from 1 species